GAGUUUGAUCUUGGCUCAGGAUGAACGCUGGCGGCGUGCCUAAUACAUGCAAGUCAAGCGAACGGACGAGAAGCUUGCUUCUCUGAUGUUAGCGGCGGACGGGUGAGUAACACGUGGAUAACCUACCUAUAAGACUGGGAUAACUUCGGGAAACCGGAGCUAAUACCGGAUGAUAUUUUGAACCGCAUGGUUCAAAAGUGAAAGACGGUCUUGCUGUCACUUAUAGAUGGAUCCGCGCUGCAUUAGCUAGUUGGUAAGGUAACGGUUUACCAAGGCAACGAUGCAUAGCCGACCUGAGAGGGUGAUCGGCACACUGGAACUGAGACACGGUCCAGACUCCUACGGGAGGCAGCAGUAGGGAAUCUUCCGCAAUGGGCGAAAGCCUGACGGAGCAACGCCGCGUGAGUGAUGAAGGUCUUCGGAUCGUAAAACUCUGUUAUUAGGGAAGAACAUAUGUGUAAGUAACUGUGCACAUCUUGACGGUACCUAAUCAGAAAGCACGGCUAACUACGUCG
rnacentral:rRNA from 1 species